GCAGCCCAUGGAGCCCAUAUUUUAAGCUUCGCCGCCGCAAUACAAAUUCUGCUUUCUAUCGGACUAAUACCAAGCCGUUGUUCCGCUUUAUAAUCAGUGCUAGGGUUUCUUGUUCCCCCUAUAAAUACCUACUUAAUCCAUUGUUAUACUCCCUCAACUCGAUUUUGUGUUCCAAGUUGUUCUACAAAUUAGGGUUCCCGGCUUUGCAGCCUUCGGUUUCGUAUUUGUCAUCAAGCGAAAUUUUGUCUUCCAGCUGGAUCAUCUCUGUAACAAUGCCUCCAUCAGAAGAUGUGGCACUUGUUGAAUCAUUACGCUUGUGUUCGCGCUCAGUGAAAUAUGCAGAAAUUUGCUGUUGCGUCUUUCCUCAACAUCGGUAGUCUCCAUCACCCAUCACUGAAGCCCGUUGCCGUCGAUGUCGCCACUGAAAUUUCUUGUAAUUGUUGCCUGUAAGACUUGAUUGUGAGCGUCUGCAGCCAUACAAUUUAGUAGAUGUUAUUCUAAAUGCUAUUUUGGAGGAAGUGUUCUCUGAUUCCUUUGUUGUAUAAUAUCAGGGUGUAUUCAAUUCAAGUUAAAUAAAUUAUUGUAACUAAAUUGUUCAAAA